UUUACUGUUUCAUGAACAAUAACUAUUAAAAAAAAACUUUGGACUGGAAGUUGCUGUAAAAGUAAGUGUUACUAAAAAGAAACCGCUGGAAGAACAUUUUGUAACUAGUUAUUUUGUGAUUAGCUAAGUAACAGCUCAGUAACAUGGUUGGGUAUAAAAAGCUUACAGUAAAGAGGCAGAGUUCCCCUAAAGUAAAGAUGGGCAAUUGAUUGCAGUCUAGUUUAUAUCUCAUCAUGUACAUAGUAUUAUCAAGGGCCAUCAGGCAGCACUGCAUUAAAAACAGGCAUGAUUCUGUCAUUCAAAUUCCAUGAAGUAACCUAGUCUGCAGAAAAAUCAGCAUCUCUCUUAAAUUAUUUGUACCCGUUAACUGAUAAUUCAACAUAUCUGCCAUGGGAAAAGGUGUUUAGAAUUAGGAGAUUUUUCUUUAAUUUUUCCAAAGACAUUUUAUGAGGAUAAGCAAAAAAUUGCAAUGCACUGGGGGGUUCCCAUGCUCUCUAACAUCCAGCAUGAUUUCUACCAGCUUCCACCGGCUGAGACAGAGGUGAAGCUUCCACUUCUCAAGCUUCCAUUGAUUCAAGACGGGCAGCUAAUUGGACAGAAAAAAACAAAACAAAGAAACAAAUUUUUAAAAAAAACAAAAACAGGAGAAGACAGGCCCCCAGAUGAGCUCCUGCUCUGUAGGACGUAACAAAGCACUUUACCAUAUACAGAUGAAAUACACAUUAAUAUAACCAAGCAUGAGUGAGAGCAUAGUGAAAUAUGAAAACACUACUGAAGGAGAAAACAUAAUCAAAAAUGCAAAAAUUAAAUAAUAAUGAAACAUUUAUUAAUUUAUUUAUUUUAAAUUACAUGUAUAUUAGCAACUUAAAUACACUGCUCAAAAAUUAUUAUGUUUUUAAAUUAAAGAUUAUUUGAUUUACAGAAGAAAGAAAAACACUUCCUGAUUAGUGUAUAGCAUCAUUUCAGACUGCUAGGAUAUUGCUCUGGACAGAUCUAUUUUUCUAUCUAAUUAAAAUUAAAUUGAAAUGAAUAUCAUUUCUAUGAGACACUGUCAGUGUGCUGUUAUAUAACUAAUGUAUUUAAGGCCUGACUUGUGACAUUGAUGCCCAUUCCUUUACUGUCCUUUUCGAUGUGUAAUGUCAGAUCCCUUGUAUCUGUAUUUGAUUGGGCAUCCCGGUGUUGCUAUGGCAUGAUCCUAGUAAUUACUGUUAUUAAAACAAUAACACAUAGCACAUUCAAAUUCAAACAUUGCUGCAUUGAGGAUUUUCCUGCAUUCUUCUGUGACUGGCAAUUCCAAACCUGCACUCAGUCUUCUCAUUACACUGGUACUGAACAGACACAACAUUGGAGCCUUUGCAAACUUUUUUCAAAAACUGCAACUAUUUGACACAAAUCUGCAACCAACAGCAAGCACAGAGUCUUCAAACAAGUCACUGAAGUAUGGAUUGAAAGAUUUACUUUUAAACAAUAAUGAUUAAUUAAUGAUUACGGUUGUUUUACCUUGAUUGCCAGCUGUUUUUAUCUUCAUUUCUUUCAUAUUUAUCCACCUAAACAAUUUAAUGAUACAGUUUGACUGGAUAUGCAUUGUUGAAAUUGACUUGAAAAUGUAUGAAAAUGUAUGUAAAGUUGCACAGAGAAACCAAAUCCAGUGUGGAUCUUUGCCUUGAAAGACGCCUAAAAUGGCUCGACCUGUGGAAAAUCCACAUCUUAAGAUGUUUGACUCAGAAACCAACUCACAUGUCAACAGUGCAAGUACUGCUUCCAAGAUGUGGGGAUCUUACCACCUCCACCAAAGGAAUACUACUGUGUGUCCUUUGUUUGCAAGGAUUUUUUGGAACCAGAGAGCAAAACGCCAGAUGACCUGAAUGUUCCUCUGCAACACAAGAUGCCUUUGGCUCAAAGUCGGCCUCCUCCACAGACAAAGGAGAAGCAGCCAGACUCAUCAAAUGAAGACCUAUUAGCUUACCUGCAUGUAAGGUCCCACUGCCUCCAAGUCCUCCACCUGCUGAUGACUGGUUUAAGUCAAAGGACACUCAUAAAGUCAUGCACCCAGAUUUAAAAAACGAUUGUUCUUCCCUGGAUGAUGAAGUGGCCUUUUUCAUAUCUCCUUGUGAGAUUCCUCUGCCUCCAAGAAAUCCACGUGUUGAAGCUUUUGGUCACUGUGGAAAGCACCGAAGUUCAACCGUGUUGUCUGUGGAUGAUUAAGAGGAACAUUUGAUGCCUAAACACAUUAGGCUGAUGACUUGUGAUGUUCCACUGCCUCCAAGUCCUCCACCAUCACCUAUGAAUGAUGAAGACACUGACCCAAAGUGCAUCAGCCCACUGCCUCAUGAGGUUCCACUGCCUCCAAGUCCUCCACCAUCCCCUGUGUGUGCUGAUGACACUGAUCUAAAGUGUACCAGCCCACUGCCUCACGAGAUUCCACUGCCUCCAUGUCCUCUACCCCAAAUUUGUUGCCAGUAUUAUUAAGAUACUAGGUGACUUUGAGGGCCAGAUUGUGCUGGGAGGAGAUUUUAAUCAGGUUCCGGAUGAGUAUAUGGAUAGGAGUGGUACAAGUCUAGGCCCUAGUGCAAAAAAUAAAUCUGCAGCAGCCAUCUUUAAAGAGGUAACUGGGCUGGUCGAUAUCUGGAGACUUGUACAUCCUUCAGAAACGGAAUACACGUUUUAUUCACAUUCUCAUAAAAGUUGUUCCAGAAUUAUUUCUUAAUAUCUGGUCUGAGUGCUGAUUUGGUUGUGAACGGUGAAAUAAGUAUAAUCAUAAUACGAGAUCAUACUCCAGUAGAACUAAAUAUAGACUUACAAGUUGAGAAAUAUAGUCGGGGCAGGUGGAAACUAAAUCCAAGUCUUUUACAUGAUGAACAAUUUGUGGCAACAUUAAAAGAUGAUAUUAUUUUUUUCUUGGAUGUAAAUAUUUUGACCACAGAGAGACUGGCUACGGUAUGGGAUACCCUAAAGGCCUUCAUUAGAGCAAAUGUCUGCAAUAUAGUUCAAAGAAGGCGAAAGAAAGUAAAGAAAGAUUUAACCGACCCAGCCAAUUUUAGACCUAUUAGUUUAUAAAAUGUGGAUUGUAAAAUACUGUCAUAGAUCUUGGCAGCAAGACCGGAGUCUGUGUUCCUGCAGAUUGUUCAUAAAGACCAAGUGGGGUUUAUUAAGCAUCAAUCAUCAGCUGAUAACAUGAGGAGACUAUUACAUCUUAUUUGAGCUAAUAAAUAUAACCCAAAACCAGUAGUAAUAAUUUCGCUUGACGCCCUAAAGCCCUUGACAGGGUUGAAUGGAGCAUUGUCAAAAUUUGGAAUUGGUGAUAAUUUCUGUAGAUGGGUUAAGACACUGUAUUCAGGGCCGAAAGCCUCUGUUCUCACCAAUGGACUGAUGUCCCCAUUUUUUAAUAUCUCCAGGUCUACUCGUCAGGGUUGUAGUCUUAGCCCACUCCUGUUCACUAUCUUUAUGGACCCCCUGGCUAUUAAAAUUAGGAAAGAUUCAAGUAUUGUGGGUGUGAACGGAGGGGGGGAGAGAACAUAAAUAAUUUUUGUAUGCAGACAAUAUUGUGGUGAUGUGUCAGGACCCCACCAACUCCAUAACAAAAUUGCUAAAUGUUAUUGGUGAAUUCUCUAAGUUAUCAGGUUACAAAAUUAACUGGCAUAAGUCGGAGGCAAUGCCAAUAUCUCAGACUUGUAUUGCUAAUUCAUUUUAGCUUUCAAUUUUAAUUUGUUACAAAAAGGGAUGAAAUAUUUAGGAAUAAUACUUAAUCUGAAUGUUGUUACAUGUCUGCAGGCUACAUGUUUUCUUUCCCUCUCCUUUUGUUUGCCAUUUCCUCAGGUACACAGACUGCAGGCUGGUGUCAAUUUGGGGAUCUCCAGCUAAUUAGAGGAAGGAGGCUUUGAUUAGACAAACCAGGAGUGCACAACUUGAUAAGGAGACUCACCUGUGGCUGGGUGCGGCUCUCUCUUCCUUGCUUGGAAUUGUUUGGCACCUGUGUAGAGCGCCUCUGGUGUAUUUCUUUUGUUUGAAGGUUGUGGUGGGAGUAAAGAGGACUACGUAAGUCUGCGGACCCAAUACACUUAUUCACAUAGAAUUCUUUCUGUUAGAAACACUUGAAAAGCCUCCCAGUGUAACUGCUCAUGAGGUUUCACCAUGCCCACCUGAUGAAAUUCCACACCUUCCAGAGAAGAGAUACUUCCAUUUAUCUACUAUUGCUUUUCCUUGUCUCGAUGAUUAAAG